rnacentral:sRNA from 2 species
CUGUGAUUAAGCAGACAAAUAUUUGUUUGAUUCAGCCUCUGAAUCUAUCCCCACCAGCAGCAGCAUCACCCACGACAGACAAAAAAAGAUUCAAGUCCUGCUGGAUCCUUUCAAGGAACCAGAACGAGAAAUACCCAAUAUGUCUGCGCUGUGAAGUUCCAAAUACUGCCCAUUCGCGAGACGUUCAGAAGGGAUUCCCGGCCCCAAUCGGGAUAUAUACCCUGGGAUAUAUGUUCCUCGAACCCUGGAUCGAUCUGCUCUCAACCCAAACCCGAGAUCUGUACUACUUUCUCAUCCCAGGGAGGACGACCGCCAUUCACUAACUAGCCCCAGAAUUCGACAGAUAGGGCUCACACACUUUCGAAUCGAAGCGACAAUACCUUGGACAUCUAAGUUGUAGAAACGUCGCAAUCGUCGGGUGCGCUCUAUCAUCAUAUUUCUCGAUCUGGUGGCUGGUUAAGGUUUCCCAACAAAGACGAACCAAGGGACGCCGCCGCCGGUGCAAGCCGCGCGGGCGCGUCGGCGCCUAAUAAUAUAUACCUUUCACCCCCAGCAUAUCAGAACUGAAACGGGGAAAAAAUAAUACCAAAACCAGCCAGGUUGUGGGAUGAUGUAUAAAUAGGGUCGCUUUAAACCUGUUCUCAAUGCUUGUUUUGUGAGCGUUUCUUACUCUCAUCUUGGGGGACGACGGUAUACAUUUGUGAAGUGUAUUGCGGCUCAUGGUUCGGAUAAUUCAUACCUGGAGGGGGUAAUCGUGAUGAUAUUCAAGUCGAUAAAAAUACUUUCAUGUUCCCUGUUGAUGAUGUCAUAGGCAGGCUGUCAUGGUUCAGCUUCGUCUGCUCUACAGAUGUAUGUACAGAGUAACUAACUACAUACUGCCAGCAUGGCGCUGGUGGUGAACGAACUCUUUUGCGCCAGUCGAUUAGAAGAGCAACCCAGAGAACACCAGAGCGGCCCAGCAAAGAACAGAACUCCAAACAUAUCCAUGGAUACAAUUUGAUGUUUAUUCUAUAACUACUACUGCCCGUUCGUGCUCAGUGCCCAACAACGGCAGUUGGUAGACAGCGGAAUCAGGCUUUCUGCACGUAUCCUUUCGAAUCCUACCUUGCUGGAAUUGAUAACUAGAACUUGAACUCAAUUUCAAGUUCCCAUUAGCGGCAUGUACGUCGGCUCCACCACUCUAAUUGCGCCGAAGCAAAGGGCGGGGGAGAAUCAGCUUGCCUACACCUUCAAUCGUCCUACCUCGGCAG